AUUGAACGCUGGCGGCAUGCCUUACACAUGCAAGUCGAGCGGCAGCGCGGGAGCAAUCCUGGCGGCGAGUGGCGAACGGGUGAGUAAUAUAUCGGAACGUGCCCAGUAGUGGGGGAUAGCCCGGCGAAAGCCGGAUUAAUACCGCAUACGACCUACGGGUGAAAGCGGGGGACCGUAAGGCCUCGCGCUAUUGGAGCGGCCGAUGUCAGAUUAGCUAGUUGGUGGGGUAAAGGCCUACCAAGGCGACGAUCUGUAGCUGGUCUGAGAGGACGACCAGCCACACUGGGACUGAGACACGGUCCAGACUCCUACGGGAGGCAGCAGUGGGGAAUAUUGGACAAUGGGCGCAAGCCUGAUCCAGCCAUGCCGCGUGGGUGAAGAAGGCCUC
rnacentral:rRNA from 1 species